UACGGGAGGCAGCAGUGGGGAAUAUUGCACAAUGGGCGAAAGCCUGAUGCAGCUAUGCCGCGUGUAUGAAGAAGGCCUUAGGGUUGUAAAGUACUUUCAUCGGGGAGGAAAAAACAAAACUAAUAAUUUUAUUUCUUGACGUUACCCGAAAAAGAAGCACCGGCUAACUCCGUGCCAGCAGCCGCGGUAAUACGGAGGGUGCUAGCGUUAAUCAGAAUUACUGGGCGUAAAGAGCACGUAGGUGGUUUUUUUAAAGUCAGAUGUGAAAUCCCUGGGCUUAACCUAGGAACUGCAUUUUGAAACUGAAAUACUAGAGUAUCGUAGAGGGAGGUAGAAUUCUAGGUGUAGCGGUGAAAUGCGUAGAUAUCUGGAGGAAUACCUGUGGCGAAAGCGGCCUCCUAAACGAAUACUGACACUGAGGUGCGAAAGCGUUGGGGAGCAAACAGGGAUUUAGAUACC
rnacentral:rRNA from 1 species